GAUGAACGCUGGCGGCGUGCCUAAUACAUGCAAGUCGAGCGAACGGACGAGAAGCUUGCUUCUCUGAUGUUAGCGGCGGACGGGUGAGUAACACGUGGAUAACCUACCUAUAAUACGGGGAUAACUUCGGGAAACCGGAGCUAAUACCGGAUAAUAUUUUGAACCGCAUUGUUCAAAAGUGAAAGACGGUCUUGCUGUCACUUAUAGAUGGAUCCGCGCUGCAUUAGCUAGUUGGUAAGGUAACGGCUUACCAAGGCAACGAUGCAUAGCCGACCUGAGAGGGUGAUCGGCCACACUGGAGCUGAGACACGGUCCAGACUACUACGGGAGGCAGCAGUAGGGAAUCUUCCGCAGUGGGCGAGAGCCUGACGGAGCAACGCCGCGUGAGUGAUGGAGGUCUUCGGAUCGUAAAACUCUGUUAUUAGGGAAGAACAUAUGUGUAAGUAAAUGUGCACAUCUUGACGGUACUUAAUCAGAAAGCCACGGCUAACUACGUG
rnacentral:rRNA from 1 species